GGGUCCCCAAUUUGCUCUUUAAGGGCUCUUUAAGGUUGGGGGGGGUACCCAAUUUGGGGGUUUAAGAGUGAAGGGGUCCCCAAUGUGGGGGGUCCCCAAUUUGGGUCCCCUAUACGGGGGGGGGCCUUUAAGGGUGGGGGAUCCCCAAAUUGGGGGGGGGGGUUUAGAGUGAAGGGGUCCCCGUUUGGGGGGGGUCCCCGAUUUUGGGGGGGGGGUUAAGAGUGAAGGGAUCCCUAAUUUGGGGGGGUCCCCAAUAUGAGAGGGGGUCUCAAAAAGAGGGGGGGUCCCCAAUUUGGGGGGGUCCCAAGCAAAAAAGGGGGGGGCCUUUAAGGGUGGGGAUCCCCAAAUGGGGGGGGUUAAGACUGAAGGGCGGUCCCCAUUUGGGGGGGUCCCCGAUUUGGGGGGGGGGGUUUAAGAGUGAAGGGAUCCCUAAUUUGGGGGGGGUCCCCAAUAUGAGGGGGGUCUCAAAAAGAGGGGGGGGUCCCCAAUUUGGGGGGGGUCCCAAAAGGGGGGGGGUUUAUAAGGGUAGGGAGUCCCCAAUUUGGGGGGGGCGCCCAAUAUGGGGGGGGUCGGUUUAAGGGGGGGGUCCCCAAUUUGGGGGGGGUCCCCAAUAUGAGGGGGGUCCCCAAAAAGGGGGGGGUCUUUAAGGGUGGGGAGUCCCCAAUUUGGGGGGGGUACCCCAUAUGAGGGGGGUCCCCAAUAUGGGUGGAGGGGGGUCUUUAAGGGUGGGGGGGCCCAAUUUGGGGGGGUCCCCAUUAGGGGGGGGGGUCCCAAAAGGGGGGGGUUUAUAAGGGUAGGGAGUCCCCAAUUUGGGGGGGGUCCCCAAUAUGGGGGGGGUCGGUUUAAGGGGUGGGGGGUCCCCAAUUUGGGGGGGGUCCCCAAUAUGAGGGGGGUCCCCAAAAAGAGGGGGGGGUCUUUAAUGGUGGGGGGGUCCCCAAUUUGGGGGGUACCCCAUAUGAGGGGGGUCCCCAAUAUGGGGGGAGGGGGGUCUUUAAGGGUGGGGGGUCCCC
rnacentral:lncRNA from 7 species